rnacentral:misc_RNA from 1 species
ACAAUUGUUUUUGUUUUAACCGACUUCCAAAAAAGGAGGAGGUUCUCAAUUCGACUGUAUUUUUUUUUUAACCGACUUCCAAAAAAGGAGGAGGUUCUCAAUUCGACUGUAUUUUUUUUUUUUUUUUUUUUUUUUUUUUUUAUGUAUGUUACAUCAGAACUUUUGACUGGGUAGACCGAUUUCGACAAAUUUUGUUUUAAUCGAAAGGUGGUGUGUGCCGAUUGGUCCCAUUUAAAUUUAUUUGAGAUCUAACAACUACUUUUCGAAUUAUAUCUAAUAAUGCAUUUUUACUUGACGCUUUUUUCGUCGACCUACGUUGUAUACCACAUAACUUUCUACUGGGUGUACCCAAUCUUUGAUAACGCGUAUUUACUUGACAUUAUUUUCGUCACCUUACGUUGUAUUAUACCUCAUAGCUUUUUACUGGGUGCACCGAUUUUGACGUUUCUUAUAUAAAUUAAAAGCUACUAUUCGUCACGUGGUUCCAUUCAAAUUUAAUUGAGAUUUGAUUAGUAAUUUGUGAGUUAUAUCUAAUAUUGCGUAUUUACUUGACGGUUUUUUCGUCACCCUACGUUGUAUUAUACGUUAUAUCUUUUUACUGGGUGCACUGAUUUUGAUCUUUUUUGUAUAAAUCAAAAGCUAAUACUUGUCAUGUCGUCCGUUUUAAAUAUGAUUGAGACAUAAUGAGCAAUUUUUGAAUAAUCUUUGAUGACACGUAUUUACAUGACGAUGUUAUGACGACUGUGGUCAUGUUCAAUACUUUGCCACAACGCCAUCUAUCAAAAUUUAAUGAAAUUACUUCGUUCACUAUCGAUCAAAUUACAAUAUUCCACUAGAGUAGAGAGUAGCAGUUUAUUCGUUAUAAAUAUAUUUGAGCUUUUAAUUUUUGAGUUAUCGCUAAUACUGGGUAUUUACUUGGCUAUUUUACGUCGACCAACGUUAUAUUAACCUCAUUACUAUUUUACUGGGUGGACCGAUAUCGAUGAUUCUUUUUUUAAUCGAUAGGUGGUGCUUGUCAUGUGGUACCAUUUAAAUAUAAUUGAGAUUUGACUCGAACUUUUUGAGCUAUAUCUGAUAUGGCGUAUUUACUUGACUGUUUUUGGAGUUUUCUCCUUAAGAAUCGAUUUUCAUUUAAGGCCCCGGAAUGAAAAAAUUGAACAGUAAAAUCUACUGAACGAAUGACCUUGUUAGAGAUGGCGUUCAGACGUUUUCUAAUAACGCAAUUAGGUU